GCAGGGGGUGCAGCAUCAGUAGUACAGGUUACCAAACGCUGCCUGAUCGGAGCUGAGCUCCAAUUGCGGCAGCCAACCCACUGAAGAGGGAUAAUUGCACUAUACAGUAUUUGUCUCUAUUUUAUGUGCCUGUCCAACCUAUCCUCUGGUGAGUGCUGUGUGGAAGGAAGGACACUUUGUUUUUACAGAUCCUUGUGCAGAAAAGGGAACCUAAAGAUCACUACAGGCAUGGCUGUUUCCCUGUUGAUUGGGAUGGGAAUCUGGAGAAUGCGGAGCCCCUGGUACUGGAUGAAUUGUCUGUUAGACGGUGCUUUGCCAGUUCUAAAUCAGAACACGCAAAUCCAAAUUAUUGCACGCUUUGGAACACCCGAAUGGUCUUUACAUCAAAAUAUGCUAGAGAAUACUUUAUUGCAUGUGUAAGAUUUGCAUAUGUCCCCUCGCUAUAAAAAAAAAAAAGGAGGCACUAUCAUAACCUGAUUUAAUUGUGUUAUUUCAUCUAUAAUGUGAUUUAUUAACAUGUGAGACUACCUGGCUUAAUUAGUGAAAUUAUUUUCUCUGCUCUUCUACCAUAAUACUUGACUGAUAUGUAAACUUGUACUGUGUACCUCUAAUGCACAUUUUCGAAUGUUUUGGAUGUUCUAACCCCCCCCCCCCUCCCCCUCGUUCCCCCCCCCCCCCUUCUCUUUAUAUUCACUAUCUUUGUUUCUAUUUAAUCAAGUUCACUUUCUUCUUUUGGUAUAUGUGUCUUAUAUUGCAGUUCGGAAUACUAAUGUUGUCACUAUGUAGUUCAGAGUUCUUUAUGAUAUACAAGUUGUAUCCUGAGACUUGUUAUGCUCUCAUACGCUUGAACUAUGCAUGAUAUGUACAUUUUUCUUUUUUACCAUAUUCUGC